GGUGNGGUGUCCGAGUGGCUGAAGGAGCACGCCUGGAAAGUGUGUAUACGGCAACGUAUCGAGGGUUCGAAUCCCUCCCUCACCGCCA
rnacentral:tRNA from 1 species